rnacentral:SRP_RNA from 1 species
UCGCUGUUGAGUGGUCGUUGUACACGUCUGCGCCUUACCCAAGCUGGGCUUCCAACCUGACGCAGGCACAACUCACCUCAGCCGCACAGAUAU